rnacentral:rRNA from 1 species
UACGUAGGGUGCGAGCGUUGUCCGGAAUUAUUGGGCGUAAAGGGCUCGUAGGCGGUUUGUCGCGUCGGGAGUGAAAAUCCAGGGCUUAACUCUGGACUGGCUUCCGAUACGGGCAGACUAGAGGUAUGCAGGGGAGAACGGAAUUCCUGGUGUAGCGGUGAAAUGCGCAGAUAUCAGGAGGAACACCGGUGGCGGAGGCGGUUCUCUGGGCAUUACCUGACGCUGAGGAGCGAAAGUGUGGGGAGCGAACAGG